rnacentral:misc_RNA from 1 species
AACGUAGGAGGCGAGCGUUAUCCGGAAUCAUUGGGUUUAAAGGGUCCGUAGGCGGGUGCGUAAGUCAGUGGUGAAAGUCUGCAGCUUAACUGUAGAACUGCCAUUGAUACUGCACACCUUGAGUAAUUAUGAAGCGGUUAGAAUAUGUAGUGUAGCGGUGAAAUGCAUAGAUAUUACAUAGAAUACCGAUUGCGAAGGCAGAUCACUAAUAAUUUACUGACGCUGAGGGACGAAAGCGUAGGUAGCGUACAGG